rnacentral:rRNA from 1 species
GCCCUUUUCCGGUUGAUCCUGCCGGAGGCUAUUGCUAUCGGAGUCCGAUUUAGCCAUGCUAGUCGCACGAGUUCGUACUCGUGGCGGAAAGCUCAGUAACACGUGGCCAAGCUACCCUGUGGACGGAAAUACUCUCGGGAAACUGAGGCUAAUGUCCGAUACAGCUUUCAUCCUGGAGUGGAGAAAGCUCGAAACGUUCCGGCGCCACAGGAUGCGGCUGCGGCCGAUUAGGUUGACGGUGGGGUAACGGCCCACCGUGCCAGUAAUCGGUACGGGUGAUGGAAGUCAGAGCCCGGAGACGGUAUCUGAGACAAGAUGCCGGGCCCUACGGGGCGCAGCAGGCGCGAAACCUUUACACUGCACGACAGUGCGAUAGGGGGACUCCGAGUGCGAGGGCAUACAGUCCUCGCUUUUCUGUACCGUAAGGUGGUACAAGAAUAAGAGCUGGGCAAGACCGGUGCCAGCCGCCGCGGUAAUACCGGCAGCCCGAGUGAUAGCCAAUUUUAUUGGGCCUAAAGCGUCCGUAGCUGGCCAGACAAGUCUGUUGGGAAAUCCACAUGCUUAACAUGUGGGCGUCCAGCGGAAACUGUCUGGCUUGGGGCCGGAGGACUCGAGGGGUACGUUCGGGGUAGGAGUGAAAUCCCGUAAUCCUGAACGGACCACCGGUGGCGAAAGCGCCUCGAGAGGACGGACCCGACAGUGAGGGACGAAAGCCAGGGUCUCGAACCGGAUUAGAUACCCGGGUAGUCCUGGCCGUAAACGAUGUCUGCUA